rnacentral:ncRNA from 1 species
GACUUAUCCAGAAAGACUGAGGGAAUGGCCCUGUGAUGUCUUAGCAACCUCUACCUUCUAACCGGUAAAAGGUGCUAAUUCCAAUUCGCAAAUAGCGAAUAAGAUAAGCA